UACGUAGGGUGCAAGCGUUAAUCGGAAUUACUGGGCGUAAAGCGUGCGCGGGCGGUUAUGCAAGACAGAUGUGAAAUCCCCGGGCUCAACCUGGGAACUGCAUUUGUGACUGCAUGGCUGGAGUGCGGCAGAGGGGGAUGGAAUUCCGCGUGUAGCAGUGAAAUGCGUAGAUAUGCGGAGGAACACCGAUGGCGAAGGCAAUCCCCUGGGCCUGCACUGACGCUCAUGCACGAAAGCGUGGGGAGCAAACAGG
rnacentral:rRNA from 1 species